rnacentral:rRNA from 1 species
AUACGGAGGGUGCAAGCGUUACUCGGAAUCACUGGGCGUAAAGCGCGCGCAGGCGGCUUGAUAAGUUGGAUGUGAAAGCCUACGGCUCAACCGUAGAACUGCAUCCAAAACUGUCAGUCUAGAGUGUGGGAGAGGAAGAUGGAAUUAGUUGUGUAGGGGUAAAAUCCGUAGAGAUAACUAGGAAUACCAAAAGCGAAGGCAAUCUUCUGGAACACUACUGACGCUGAGGCGCGAAGGCGUGGGGAGCAAACAGGAUUAGAAACCCCAGUAGUCC